rnacentral:rRNA from 1 species
AUCUCAUCAAUUGCAGGGGCAAAGUAUGACUCUCAUCAAGACUACGUGGAGCGAGCUAACAAGGCGAGGUCGGAUAGGCUUUCUUCUGGACAACCAUCAUCACUGAAAGAAUGA